rnacentral:rRNA from 1 species
GCGGUAGAGGAGCGUCGUGUAAGCCGACGAAGGUGAGUCGAGAGGCUUGCUGGAGGUAUCACGAGUGCGAAUGCUGACAUGAGUAACGACAAGGGGAGUGAAAAACUCCCCCGCCGGAAGACCAAGGGUUUCUGUUCGACGCUAAUCGGAGCAGAGUGAGUCGGCCCCUAAGGCGAGGCCGAAAGGCGUAGUCGAUGGGAAACGGGUCAAUAUUCCCGUACCUCACAUGGUUGCGAUGGGGGGACGAAGAAGGCUAGGUGGGCCAGGCGUUGGUUGUCCUGGUGAAAGCCGGUAGGCUGGGAUCUUUGGCAAAUCCGGGAUCCCCAGGCCGAGAGGCGAGACGAAGGCACUACGGUGCCGAAGUCAUCGAUGCCACGCUUCCAGGAAAAGCCUCUAAGCUUCAGAUCAUGUGGGACCGUACCCCAAACCGACACAGGUGGUCAGGUAGAGAAUACCCAGGCGCUUGAGAGAACUCGGGUGAAGGAACUAGGCAAAAUGGUGCCGUAACUUCGGGAGAAGGCACGCCGCGUUAGUGUGAAGGCCCUCGCGGCCGGAGCACGAGGCGGUCGAAGAUACCAGGUGGCUGCAACUGUUUAUUAAAAACACAGCACUCUGCAAACGCGCAAGCGGACGUAUAGGGUGUGACGCCUGCCCGGUGCCGGAAGGUUAAUUGAUGGUGUUAGCGCAAGCGAAGCUCCUGAUCGAAGCCCCGGUAAACGGCGGCCGUAACUAUAACGGUCCUAAGGUAGCGAAAUUCCUUGUCGGGUAAGUUCCGACCUGCACGAAUGGCGUAAUGAUGGCCACGCUGUCUCCACCCGAGACUCAGUGAAAUUGAAAUCGCAGUGAAGAUGCUGUGUACCCGCGGCUAGACGGAAAGACCCCGUGAACCUUUACUACAGCUUCACACUGGAUGCUGAUGUUGCUUGUGUAGGAUAGCUGGGAGGCUUUGAAACCCGGACGCCAGUUCGGGUGGAGCCAACCUUGAAAUACCAGCCUGGCAUCAUUGGCGUUCUAACUCAGGUCCGUGAUCCGGAUCGAGGACAGUGUGUGGUGGGUAGUUUGACUGGGGCGGUCUCCUCCUAAAGAGUAACGGAGGAGCACGAAGGUACCCUCAGCACGGUUGGAAAUCGUGCAGUGAGUGCAAGAGCAUAAGGGUGCUUGACUGCGAGACAGACACGUCGAGCAGGUACGAAAGUAGGUUCUAGUGAUCCGGUGGUUCUGUAUGGAAGGGCCAUCGCUCAACGGAUAAAAGGUACUCCGGGGAUAACAGGCUGAUACCGCCCAAGAGUUCACAUCGACGGCGGUGUUUGGCACCUCGAUGUCGGCUCAUCACAUCCUGGGGCUGAAGUCGGUCCCAAGGGUAUGGCUGUUCGCCAUUUAAAGUGGUACGCGAGCUGGGUUUAGAACGUCGUGAGACAGUUCGGUCCCUAUCUGCCGUGGGCGUUGGACGUUUGAGAAGAGCUGCUCCUAGUACGAGAGGACCGGAGUGGACGCACCUCUGGUGUUCCGGUUGUCACGCCAGUGGCAUUGCCGGGUAGCUAUGUGCGGACAGGAUAACCGCUGAAGGCAUCUAAGCGGGAAGCCUCCUUCAAGAUGAGACGUCCCCGAGGCCUCGAGCCUCCUGAAGGGCCCAGCGAGACCAGCUGGUUGAUAGGCCGGGUGUGGAAGCGCUGCAAGGCGUUGAGCUAACCGGUACUAAUGGCCCGUGAGGCUUGACCAUAUAACACCCAAG